rnacentral:rRNA from 1 species
AUUGAACGCUGGCGGCAGGCCUAACACAUGCAAGUCGAGCGGAUGAAGGGAGCUUGCUCCUGGAUUCAGCGGCGGACGGGUGAGUAAUGCCUAGGAAUCUGCCUGGUAGUGGGGGAUAACGUCCGGAAACGGGCGCUAAUACCGCAUACGUCCUGAGGGAGAAAGUGGGGGAUCUUCGGACCUCACGCUAUCAGAUGAGCCUAGGUCGGAUUAGCAAGUUGGUGGGGUAAAGGCCUACCAAGGCGACGAUCCGUAACUGGUCUGAGAGGAUGAUCAGUCACACUGGAACUGAGACAAGGUCCAGACUCCUACGGGAGGCAGCAGUGGGGAAUAUUGGACAAUGGGCGAAAGCCUGAUCCAGCCAUGCCGCGUGUGUGAAGAAGGUCUUCGGAUUGUAAAGCACUUUAAGUUGGGAGGAAGGGCAGUAAGUUAAUACCUUGCUGUUUUGACGUUACCAACAGAAUAAGCACCGGCUAACUUCGUG